ACGCUACCACAGCCUCAUACACUUCAGAAACUCGUAGGCAUAUUCAGCACAAUGCUCUACCAGGUCAUAGUGAUAGGUAUUAAAAAGGACAGAACAGCAUACAAUGUAGGUAAUACAGAAGAAGAGAUGAAGAGUAUGACUGUAAAACAACUGAAGAAGAUAAUUGCUGAUAAAUACCCGACAACCAAAGCGGUGGAAAUGCGGCUGAUCUUCACCAACAAACAGCUGGAAGACUCAUACGAGCUCGGCCACUAUGGGAUACAGAAUCAGUCUAUCAUUAUGCAAGUGCUGAUCUUGCCUGGGGGACAUGACUGGCUGAUCAUGACAUCCAAAUGAAGUGUAGCCAAAAGGAUAGUGCCACCAUGCGCCGUCAAUUUCCCCACCGCCACCAGCUGAAGGUCCCGUCAUCAGAACCAUCAUCCAUUCCGGGAUGUUUCAAUAUUUUAAUAAAACUUUCACCUUUACAUUCA